UGACCUCGGAUCAGGUAGGGAUACCCGCUGAACUUAAGCAUAUCAAUAAGCGGAGGAAAAGAAACCAACAGGGAUUACCUCAGUAACGGCGAGUGAAGCGGUAACAGCUCAAAUUUGAAAGCUGCCAACAGGCCGCGUUGUAAUUUGU
rnacentral:rRNA from 1 species